UAUUCACAUCAUUUACAAUCCUUGCUAGUGCGAUAAUGUUCAAGGAUUGGUCUGGCGAGAGUGCUAGCAGCAUUGCUUCUGCACUCUGUGGAUUCAUUACUGUGCUUUCGGGUACUGUGGUUUUGCAUAGUCAAAGAGAACCUGAUCCACUUCCUGUUACAGAUAUAUAUUCAUCUUUAUCCCCUCAAGUAUCAUGGCUUAUCAAAGCGAAUGGCAAAACAUGGAAGCAGGAAGUUGAUGAUGACC